rnacentral:misc_RNA from 1 species
GAAAUGCGAUACGCAAUGCGAAUUGCAGAAUUCCGCGAAUCAUCAGAUUCUUGAACGCAACUGGCGCUGGGAGGAUAUCCUCCCAGCAUGUCUGUUUCAGUGUCUGAUAACUUCCAAAGAAGAACAUAAUGUGUUUGACGAGGGAUAUGACCUGAUCUUGUUAUCUUGUUCAUAUCUUGAGUCUUACAUUAAAGAUGUAUGUGUGGGUCUUUGGAUCCAUCGAAUUGGUCACUGACACCUCAGUGAUUUCGAUAGGAAAUCCAAUUACUCGUAUGCACAUAGAAACUAUGUAUGUAUAUAUUCAUUUAUAUAGAUACAUAAACAAACCUCUAAUAUCUGCAUCUGAAAUCAGGCAAGAACACCCGCUGAACUUAA